UUCAGCCCUUUCUAUAUAGUGCAAGUCGAGCGGACCGAAGGGAGCUUGCUCCUUUAGGUUAGCGGCGGACGGGUGAGUAACACGUGGGCAACCUGCCCUGCAGACUGGGAUAACUUCGGGAAACCGGAGCUAAUACCGGAUAACACCGAAAACCGCAUGGUUUUCGGUUGAAAGGCGGCUUUUAGCUGUCACUGCAGGAUGGGCCCGCGGCGCAUUAGCUAGUUGGUGAGGUAACGGCUCACCAAGGCGACGAUGCGUAGCCGACCUGAGAGGGUGACCGGCCACACUGGGACUGAGACACGGCCCAGACUCCUACGGGAGGCAGCAGUAGGGAAUCUUCCGCAAUGGACGAAAGUCUGACGGAGCAACGCCGCGUGAGCGAAGAAGGUCUUCGGAUCGUAAAGCUCUGUUGUCAGGGAAGAACAAGUGCCGUUCGAACAGGGCGGUACCUUGACGGUACCUGACGAGGAAGCCACGGCUAACUACGUGCCAGCAGCCGCGGUAAUACGUAGGUGGCAAGCGUUGUCCGGAAUUAUUGGGCGUAAAGCGCGCGCAGGCGGUUCCUUAAGUCUGAUGUGAAAUCUCGCGGCUCAACCGCGAGCGGCCAUUGGAAACUGGGGAACUUGAGUGCAGGAGAGGGGAGCGGAAUUCCACGUGUAGCGGUGAAAUGCGUAGAGAUGUGGAGGAACACCAGUGGCGAAGGCGGCUCUCUGGCCUGUAACUGACGCUGAGGCGCGAAAGCGUGGGGAGCGAACAGGAUUAGAUACCCUGGUAGUCCACGCCGUAAACGAUGAGUGCUAAGUGUUAGAGGGUAUCCACCCUUUAUGCUGCAGCAGACGCAUUAGCACUCCGCCUGGGGGAGUACGGCCGGCAAGGCUGAAACUCAAUGAUGACGGGACCCGCACAGCGGUGGAGCAUGUAGUUAUUCGAGCACGCCGAAAGACCGUUACAGGUCUGUGGACAUUGCCGCUUGAG
rnacentral:rRNA from 1 species